AUACGAAGGUCCCAAGCGUUAUUCGGAAUCACUGGGCGUAAAGAGUACGUAGGCGGUUUGGUAAGUCAGGUGUGAAAUCCCGGAGCUCAACUCCGGAACUGCAUCCGAUACUGCCAGACUUGAGUAAUGGAGAGGCAGGUGGAAUUCUCGGUGUAGCAGUGAAAUGCGUGGAUAUCGAGAGGAAGACCAAUGGCGAAGGCAGCCUGCUGGACAUUUACUGACGCUGAGGUACGAAGGCUAGGGGAGCGAAAGGGAUUAGAAACCCUAGUAGUCC
rnacentral:rRNA from 1 species